rnacentral:rRNA from 1 species
UACGUAGGGGGCAAGCGUUGUCCGGAUUUAUUGGGCGUAAAGAGCGUGUAGGCGGCCAGAUAGGUCCGUUGUGAAACCUGGAGGCUCAACCUCCAGCGGUCGAUGGAAACCAUUUGGCUAGAGUCCGGAAGAGGAGAGUGGAAUUCCUGGUGUAGCGGUGAAAUGCGCAGAUAUCAGGAAGGAACACCCAGUGGCGAAGGCGGCU